rnacentral:rRNA from 1 species
CAGAGGGGGCAAGCGUUAUUCGGAAUUAUUGGGCGUAAAGGGCGCGUAGGCGGCUUUUCAAGUGACGGGUGAAAUCCCUCGGCUUAACCGAGGAACUGCCUGUCAGACUGGAAGGCUUGAGACCGGGAGAGGUGAGUGGAACUCCCAGUGUAGCGGUGAAAUGCGUAGAUAUUGGGAGGAACACCAGUGGCGAAGGCGGCUCACUGGACCGGAACUGACGCUGAGGCGCGAAAGCGUGGGGAGCAAACAGGAUUAGAUACCCUGGUAGUCCACGCCGUAAACGAUGAGUGCUUGGUGUAGCGGGUAUCGACCCCUGCUGUGCCGAAGUCAACACAUUAAGCACUCCGCCUGGGGAGUACGGUCGCAAGACUG